rnacentral:rRNA from 1 species
ACGAACGCUGGCGGCGUGCUUAACACAUGCAAGUCGAGCGGUAAGGCCCUUUCGGGGGUACACGAGCGGCGAACGGGUGAGUAACACGUGGGUGACCUGCCCUUAGCUCUGGGAUAAGCCUGGGAAACUGGGUCUAAUACCGGAUAUGACUCCAUGACGCAUGUUGUGGGGUGGAAAGCCUUGUGCGGCUAGGGAUGGGCCCGCGGCCUAUCAGCUUGUUGGUGGGGUGAUGGCCUACCAAGGCGACGACGGGUAGCCGGCCUGAGAGGGCGACCGGCCACACUGGGACUGAGACACGGCCCAGACUCCUACGGGAGGCAGCAGUGGGGAAUCUUGCGCAAUGGGCGAAAGCCUGACGCAGCGACGCCGCGUGA